GCGCAGGCGCGCGCGGCACCUGCUGGGGGCGGGCCGGGCUCGGCGCUCGGUGGACCCCGCGGCUCCCGGCGCCUCGGCCCCCGCCCGCCGGACACGCCCGCGCCGCGCGCCCCGCGCCGGGCACAGUCUGCUGCGCCCGCCCGCAGCGGGGCCCGAGGGCGCGACGUCCCCGCCCCGCAGCCGCAGGAGGCACUUGGCCCCAUUGUACCGAUGGCGAAACUGAGGCUCGCGUCGAUCGAGCCGGGGGCCGAGGAUCCAGCAGCCGGACGUGGCGCUUCCCGUUGUGGGUCGCCUCUGCCCUCUGAGGGGCCCUUGGGCGGGGGCUCCCAGCACCCCGGCGCCUCCGGCCUGUCACCCCCGGAAGGCGCCGCGCAGCCGGCGGCCCUCGGGGGCCCCCAACGGCCGCCUGUGCCUGCGGAGACGGUUACGUGGAUCGCCUGUUUGUGUACUCCCGUGUUUACGUUGUGGGCGUUUUACAGCUGAAUUGGCGUGGAGAGGGAUGUUUUGAUGUCACACCGCACGACACUUUCUUUGACCUGGAAGUUCAUCUUUCCUUCCUGACCUCCACAGCACUGGAGACAUUUCUGCGGGUCCCCCACAAAAGCCUCGUGGGCCCCAGGCUCGGUGCUUCCGGUGGCUCAGGUAAGCCGGCCCUGCCUCAGUUUACCCAAAGGAAGCUCAGGCUCUCUCUCGGCAGGAGGAGCUUUCAGAAGCUGGCUUUGCCUCGGCUACGUGACACUUCCUUGGAAAACCGUAUGGCAGUUCACACCUCUCUCAUUUUCAGGAAGACCCGGGUGCGAAUCCCUGAUCUUCCACUUACUGAUGACCCACGGCUGGGCAUGUCCCUUGAUUUCCCAGAUCCGCAGUCUUUUCUGCAAAAUGAGGAUGAUGAUACCUAUCGCCCGUGGGUCCGUGUGAGCAUUAAAUGAGGUGAUAUACACAAAACGCUUGACAUACGCGUUUUUAAUACGUGGGAAUGGCUACUACGUGAUGAUCCGAUAUAAGGUUAUGUUGAAAUCCCUUCUGGCCCUGGAGGUCUAUGCUUCUAUUCCUGUAUUCUUUAUUUUUAUUUUUUUAAAGAUUUUAUUUAUUUAUUCAUGAGAGACAGGUGCAGAGACACAGGCAGAGGGAGAAGCAGGCUCCAUGCAGGGAGCCCGACGUGGGACUCGAUCCCGGGUCUCCAGGAUCACGCCCUGGGCUGAAGUCGGCGCUAAACCGCUGAGCCACCUGGGCUGCCCUUCCUGUAUUCUUUAAUUCCGAUAAGCAUACUUUGUGCUCACGAUCCAACAUCUCUGAAAUCAAGAAAUUUGCCAAGGUAAGAAGGAAGCUGUGAACCAUUUGGCAUCACUUGUCCGGCUGUGAGCUUAGGUCUGGCCAGAACGUUUCACUAUAUCCAAUUGUCCCCUUGAGUUGCAGACCUUCGUGACGAGCUAACGCUCCUUGCACACUCAGUGUGAAAGAGGAACUGACCUAAGAAUCACGUAUAUUUUCUUAUUUAAUCCCUACAACGUCCACGCACAGUCCGUACUAUAUUCACCCCAUUUUAUGAAUGAGAAAACUGGGUGUCCUGUAAGUCAAAGACUUUGUAAAAUACAUAAAACUUGGCAGUGCUGGGAAUUCAGGCACGUGUGACUCCGGAGCCCCCAUCCCCAAAGCACCGUUGUAUUCUUCAUCCCUUAUUUCCUCUUGUAGCAGCUUAAGCGUCAAUCCCUGAUUGUCGCUUCAGUCUAUGCGAAGACACUGCACCGGAUGCAGCAUUGACAAGCGUUGCCGUGAAUGCAGUGUGCCUAGUCCACACUCAGCAAGUGUUGAGGACUGUAGAAAUGGUCGAUGCUUGCAAUAAGUCACAGAAUUUUCAAAGGAGAAAUUGUGUGUGACCAAUUGCAACAUAAUUAGAACUGUCCAUUGGAUGCCCAUCAGGGGUUCUAGUUAAUUUUUUUUUUUUACGAUUUUAUUUAUUUAUUCAUGAGAGACACACGGAGACGCAGAGACACAGGCAGAGGGAGAAGCAGGCUCCAUGCAGGGAGCCCGACGGGACUCGAUCCCGGGACCCCGGGGUCACGCCCUGGGCUGUAGGCGGCGCUAAACCGCUGAGCCACCCAGGGAUCCCCUAGUUAAUUUUUUUUUAAGGCUGCUGCUUAUGUGAAAAGAGACGUAUAUAGACGAAAUAGCGAGUGCAGCGCUGCUUGUAAAAGACUAGAGCCCAGCUCUCACCAAAGAGCUGUUGUAAUACAUUUUAACCUACCCACACCGUGGAGGGUGUGCAGCAAUUAAAGACUGAAGCACACGUGUGUGUCCUGAUAUGGAACAGCCUCUAAGAAAUACUUCAAGUGAAAAAAAAAAAAAAAAACAACGAGGGAGAAAAGCAAACAGUCUGCCAAGACUUGUUCAACUAUGAAAGGGGCACGAAUAUGUAUAUGUGUGUAAAUGGACAUCGAGAGGGGUUUUUCCUGUUGUCCUGAAACUGCUGCUGAAGCCCAGCUCUGAAAACCGAAACGUCCAUAAGGAGCCCACUGCCGGUGGUUGGAACUAGCUCUUUCCCAGGAGGACAUUCGAGGAGCCAUUGUUCGGGAAACCAGCCCUCCUGCCAACCCCUACCUCCACCCUGCUACUCCCCACCUCUUCUCCAUUCUCACCCUCUCUCCCCACAGACAAACCAUCACCCCUCAUCAGUGGGAAAAAUGGAGAGUUGAGAGGGAAGUCAGGUUUUAGGAAAGAACAAUGCUCUGGAAAGAGGCUCAUCCCUCCCUCUCCCUCCUUGGGGGGUGGUAUCCCUUCCUAGGGGCGAGGGACGGGGGCUCCAAGGGAUCACCAGUGGAGCUUGGGCGUGCCUAUAGGAAGCGGAGGCUGGCAGCCCCCCCAGGUACCCAUUUGGCCAUUGGACUUACCAAUAUGCUCUGCCCCAUUGUACCCUUGGCAAAGGAAAACACGAGAGCGAGACCACAUUGCAGGGGCUUCGGAUGGGGAGGGAUCGAACCUGCCCAACCAACCCACUCACACCUGGACUCCUCAGUCCCAGAUUGGAGGGCAGCAACGAGGUCGUCCUCCCGGGGUGAGGCAUAGAUGACACUGGCUGGGAGUCAGCUGGAAGAGAAACGUAUGAGGGCUCAGCCGUUCCUGUGGAGAUGAGUGGGGCACUCUGGGCACUGGUGCUUUGUCGUGUCUACUCGUUCUUGUUGCAUCUCAACCUAUUUAUAUUUUCAUAAUUUCUUUUGUAAAAAUAGAUGUUUUCCUAUUCUUUUUUUCCAAAGGCUAAAAAUCUGAAGAUAUUUUCAGAUUUAUCUAUUGUGUUUAUUUAAACCAAAUUAGUUCAUCUCCUUGUUGGUCUUAAAGGCUUAAUAUUAUUGGUUAAUUUUGCUCAUUUAUUUUAGGGUUUUUGUUCAUAGUUAUAUCUCGGUUCCCCCCCCCCACACUUACCCUUUUUUGUCUAGUGGUUUUGGAGCUGCCACUUUACCAUAGCCAGAUAUUAAAAUAUUGGUAUUCCAACUCCUGGGUAAUAUUGAAGAUACAGCAAAACCAACACAAUUUAUACUCUGAAUUUUAUUAUUGUGUACGUGUGCUACCUAAUUAGAGAACCUAAUGUAUUUUUUUAAGAUCUUUAAAAUUUAUUUAUUCAUGAGAGACACACAGAAAGAGGCAGAGACACAGGCAGCGGGAGAAGCAGGCUCCCGGCAGGGAGCCCAAUGUGGGACUUGAUCCCAGGACCCGGGGCCACCCCUAGCUGGAGGCAAACGGUCAACCACUGAGCCACCCAGGGGCCCCAGAAUUUAAUGUAUUUUUAAGUGUAGUUGGUUACUCUCUAGUGAUACAUAAUUAAGUAAAAACAAGCAAAUAAUAAAAAAAAAACUACCACAUCAAUCAAUAACAAUUGAUAAACUUCGAAAUUUAGCAGAUUGACAGAGAAGUAAAAAUCGAGUACAUAAGACUCUUUAGUUUCUGGAUAGGAGAAAGGAUUAGAUGCAAAUUCAUAAUACAAAAAAAGAAAAUGAUGCAUAAAUCUAAGGAUAAGUAUGUGUUCUACUCAAUGGUAUAGGAAAUGUUGUGACCAUUAAAAUAGCUCCCCCUCCAACAUGCCCAUCCACCUUAUACCAGUCGCCCCAAACUAUGAUCCUCGGACAUCACAGCUUAUUAGGGCGUGACUUCUAAAGUCAACAACAACAACGAAAUUACAUAAGGUGAAAAGUAUGCUUAAAAUUUCCCAGGAAAGGGAUCCCUGGGUGGCGCAGCGGUUUGGCGCCUGCCUUUGGCCCAGGGUGCGAUCCUGGAGACCCGGGAUCGAGUCCCACGUCGGGCUCCCGGUGCAUGGAGCCUGCUUCUCCCUCUGCCUGUGUCUCUGCCUCUCUCUCUCUCUCUCUCUCUCUCUCUCUCUCUGUGACUAUCAUAAAUAAAUAAAAAAAAUUAAAAAAAAAUUUCCCAGGAAAGCUCCGCACUAGAGACUGACUUAGCCUCUCUUAGUUUUCCUCUAGCGUCAGAUCUGAUAGCCAUGGCUCUGGCUGACCACCUGAAGAGGCGGGUGGUUUAGAGCGGGAGGCCGGGUUACCGGAGAAAACCUGCAUCUUUGAACUUCAGACUCACACUCUCUGUGGCUAAGUGACCAUGCUGUGAGCUCUACUAAAAAAUAGCAGAUUUACCUCUUUUAUCAGAGACAGACUGGUAUUUUAAAUUUUCUUUAUUGCUUCGCUGACCUUUAUGUUUCGUUGAAAUAAUGUAAGUUAAAAGCACGUGCGAUGUGACACAAGGGUAUCAGACUGGUGGUGACUGUCACCGUGGCUCGAAUUUGGCAGGUGCUGUCAAGAACUGGGGUUUUACCCCAGUUGCAAGCUAAAAAUGUGGCCUAACACGGUUUCCUUUUGUUGUUGUUGUUUUUUUAGUUUUUGUUUUUGCUUUGGGGCCUAACGCAGUUUCCUGGAUGGAAGCAGAAGACAUGAAACCCCUGGGUCAGAGACAAAGGACCGUAUUGCCCACAACACUGCGUGCAGCCUGAACAUCAGCACUUUUGCACCCGUCCUUGGCUGUGUGGACACACAUUGUGUCACAGUAAAGGAACUCCGCGCUUAGGGAAACCAGAUCCUUCAUGGCGGAGAGUGAGCAUUUCUGUCCUUUGCUCUGGAGGGAAACUGUAUCAUCGAGGGCUGUUUGCUAAACAAACAUAGUUGAAAAGUCGAAAAAAUAGUGUGGGGCAAACGACGGUCAGUGCCUGUAGUCACAGGCUGUGCGGAAGCACAACCGUGGAGGGUUGUCUUCCACGGGGACGAGACUUCAUUGUGCACCUGGUGAGCGAGGGAGGCAGGGAGUCGAACACCUUCGAUGAAAGACUGGUUUUGAGAGGCACCGAGACUUCAGCUCCAUUUCUAGCAAACAUUUUAUUGGUUAUGGGAUCUUAGUCAUAGUCCUUAACUUCUCUGGGCCUCAACUACCUAAUGGAAUAACAAGUAUAUCCCAACGCAAUGGUUGUUUAGAUUUUCUGAGGAAGUGUAACUGAAAGUAUCAGGCUCAGGAUCUGAAAUAUGGGAAGCAUUCCACAAAUGCCCGAUCCUUCUAGCCUUCCUUCAUCUCUGCCCCAUAGACGUGAAGCAGGUGCCAGAGCAUUGCGCCCGUCCCCCAAAUCGGGAAGCGACUUCCUACCUGUGACACUAGACCAGGUUGGAGAAGCAGCUUUCAGGGCUGGUGGCUGAAGUGCACCCCUGACCGUGAACCCCAGAACAGGGCCACUAAGGGGAGCAGAGCCCCAGGGGCAGCUUCCUCCCAGUAGGAAGGAGAACAAUGCCCAGGUGAGCACAAACUUACCAGGUGAGCAGUUCCUCAUCUACCCAGGAAUGGAGAAAGCAAGAGGGAUGCUUACAACGAACCUUUCCCCGCCGAAAGUCCUGGUGGAGGAAGGAGGCCCCUGUACCAUCCGCCGUGCGCACAGCGAGGCCCGGAAGCCGCGGGGAGCAUCUCACAGCAUCUCACAGCCGGCAGAAUGAGGAAAUCGUGGUGCGGAGACCACGAGGCGAGCCGGUGGCGGGUGCACCCCCAGCCCCCCGAGGGCCGGUGCUACCUCCAGGGCCAGGACUAGCUCCCGCCGCUGCUCCACGUAACCUGGAAAGAAGGGAACAGCAGCAGCAGCAGCACAACUGUCCCUGCUGGCAGGGCGCUCAGCCGAGGGAAGGGUUUCUGCCCAUAAUAAGGACAACCGGGGGAGAGGAAGGAGGGGAGGACGGGAAGCGGGCUCUGCAGGCUCCCCGGCCAGAGGGAACUGGGUCCUGGGCAGCCUGGCUGGCCUUCCCUCUAGCGUACCCGCUGCGCCACCCCACACACGUCUGGGGACAUAGGCGGAGACGGGAGGAAGCCCACCUGUAUUUAAGGCCCCUUGGCGUACUCUGAGGUCCCAGCAGCUGGGCUCCACCCCUGCCAGCCCCCUCCUCACGUGCAGCCGGUGAUUUGGGGCCUUUGUGGGCGCCCUGUGUGUCGGACCUCCAAGUCUGCAGAUGAGGGAGUGGGAGGCUCCGAAGUUCUGCGUCCCCCACUGAGAGCCAUGCGGCCCCUCGCAGGGGUGACACCGGGACCCGCUCUUCAGUGACCGGGGCUCGCACUUGGACUCGGCCCCCUCACCCACGGGAGCCCUUCGGGGCCCCCUUCCUGUUUGUCUGCUCGGACGAGGGCCCCCGACACCCUCGCAGCCGAGCCUCCACGUGCAGAAGAGAAGCACAGGGAUCCUCGACUUAGCUGAUGAGCCGGCAGCAGUGGGGACGCGGCCCGAAGCCACACCUGGGCUCCUGGUGCGUCCCCGAGAUGGGGAUCCCGCGGCGCCCGUGAGCUCGGGGGCCCGGGUGGGCGAGCUUCCUCAGCCCCAAGCCUCCGCGGCCACGCUGUAAGGCGGGUGUGGGGGCCCCCGGCUUGCUGGGCUGUUGGGAAGGUUAGAAAUGCCCCGAAAAUCCCUGGGCACCGUGACCCGCCCCUCGGUGGCCUGCGUGUCGGUCGCUGGUGGGGGCGGCCCCUGGGGACGUGGGGCGCUGCCUCCGGCUUCUGGGGCGACGGGGCGGCCCCUUCCCGCGGGGGCCCAGCGCAGGUGACGGCCUGGUCACGCUAGGGGCCCAGGCACAGGGUCUGUGACGCAAGUUUGAGAGCAGAUGACGUCACUUUAAUGAAUCGUUCUGCUUAACGGUGUUCGUCUCCCGUUCUUCCCCGUGCCGGAGACUCUUCCCACCGAGACAUCGGAGCGGAGGCAAAGCAGAGGGAGCGUGGCCGAGGAAAUCCCGCCUCCAUCUGCUUCUGCCUUUACAAGGUCAGCGUCUGGCCUGCGUCACCCGGCUCCGAGGAUGGAAGGUACCGUUUCAGCUGGAUUCCGUUUGCACCUGACACAGGUGGGUACCGGGUGUAAACACAGAAACAACAAACAACCUGCCUCACCCGUGAAUGAACAGGGCGGCGGGCUGCACGACGGGACGCCGCCUUCGAGCCACCUUUGCUUUAGGACAACAGCCGGUCACCGGCUGUCACAUCUCUUGGGGACACCAUUUCCUGCCUCCCGAUUCCUAGGAUUCCUAGUCUACGCGGGCGUCGGGAGGAGGCCGCCCACCGAGCGUUUCGGACGCGCUCCAGCAGAGGGAGUAACAGGCUCACGCCAGGCCAGCUCCAGCCGCUCCGGGCCUCGAGGGCCCCCUUGUGUUGCUCACAGGGUCGGGUUUGCAGCGGUUUGUGCCCGACUCUGCUCUAGUCCCUCUCCUUUCCGAACUCGAAGCGGAGGUGCUCCUGCAGCCGUGCAGCUCAGGUAAAGAUCCUGCUCCGUCAUUUGCUGAGGCCUUGGCAGUGGCACUGGUGAUUGCGACCUCCUCCCCGAGGCUGGGGAGCCACAGAAACACAGGCUCCUGGUGCAAGAAGGGAGGCCUCAAGAUGGGCCAGCAGAAUCCCCACAUUUCACAGAGGGGGAAACUGAGGCUCAGCCUAGACCAGAACCCGGGUCUCUGGGCACGUGAGCCCGUGCUCCCUAUGCUGUGCCCACCCCCCCCUGCAAAUACGCGUAAACCUUCAGAGCAUUCGUGGCGAACAAAUGAAGGCAAGUCGGCGAAUGGAACCCCAAGUGUGUGCCUCUGGGGAGCCCGGGCCGUGGCCGCAGCCAGACGCGCCGGGUGGUCGCGGGGCCAUGGUGCCCACUCCCCUCGCAGGGGGGACGGCCGUCUUGGGCGUGGGUCACAGGCCCGUUGGAGGGGGUCGGGAGGACGGCUCGGCCCAGGCCACACAGGCCCCACACGAUGGUGGCUCUCGGCGUGGCCUGGAGGCUUCCCAGGUUGUGGUUCUCCCCUGCGGGUGGGGGGGUCCUGAGGUGUGGGCGGCUUGGCUUAUGUGAUCCAGCCCAUCAGGCCCCCAGCAGGGCCCUGGGGUCCUUCAGCCGGUGGCGGGGGGGUCAGGGCCUGUGCAGCGGGGAGCCUGCCUCUCCCCUCCCUCUGCCCCCCACUCGGUCGCACCCUCUCUGGCGCUCGCUCACUCUCAUUCCCAAAUAAAGAAAGGGAAAAGCCCUCCGCCGAGGUCCUGACUCGUGGCAAUGACGCAAAACACACGGAGCCUGGUGGGGACUGCCACCGCACGCCCCCCCCCCGUGAGGUAGAGGGUGACCAUGUCUAAGAACAGAGUUUUUCUACACCCCGCCAUUGCCGUGCAUUGGGGGGACCCCAUCUGUGCCCUCAACUUGCUGCAGGGUCUGCACCUGCGGAGGAGGGAGUGAUGGCACCGACGGGAUCCAGCCAACCCCUGCCAGGAGGGCACACGCUUCCGCAGAUGUUCCUACAGCUGCCCUAACAAAGUGCCACAAACCGAGGAGUCUAAACCCACAGGAAUGUGUUUGCCCACAGUUCUGGGCGUUAGAAACCCAAAAUUAAAAAAAAAAAUAAAAAAAAAAAAGAAACCCGAAAUCAAGAUGUUGACGGGCCGCACCCUCUGACAGUGGGUUGAGCCUUCCUGGCUGCUCCUUGGCUUGGAGCCGCACCUUCCACUCUCUGGCCCGUCAUCAGCCACGUGCUGUUCUCCCUCCGGGCUCUCGGUGUCUCUUUUCUUUCUCUUCUUAUAAGGACACGGUUCCUGUUGGAUUAAGGGCCUCUUGACGGCGACAGCAUGACCUCGUCUUAGUAUCAUCUGCAAAGACUGUUUCCAAAUAAGAUCAAAUUCGCAGGUACCCCAGGCUAGGACUUCAGCCUUCCUUGCGUGGGAACACAGCUCAACCCACACACUUAUUAAAAGCUUUUCAAAAACUCUGAUGUUUUAUGAGGUCUUGCAAUUUCUUAAUAUGCGUAAUUUACAUAGAGACAUACUGACAUAAUUAUAAGGGAUCUUAUUUCAUCCGCUCGUAUAAAAUUAAUGUAAUAUUCAUUAUUAUAAAUAUAUGAACUCAAAACCUAUUAAGUUAUUAAAUUAUUCAAAUUAAUUUUUUAUCAUUUGUUAACUAUUAGAGUAGUUAAUUUAAAAAAAAAUGAGUCAAACAAAACAUUUCUGUGGACCUGAAAGGCGCUUGGGCCAUCGCUUUCCAGCGCUUGGUCUCAUGAACUGUGUGACUCCCCUGUUUUAAGCUGACCCGGAGCAGACCUUCACCGCCCCUUCACUGCCCCAUCUUCCUGCCUACGUGGCUCCUCCAGGAGCAGGCCCCGUCUUUCUCACUCCCCACCCCAACAACCAGCCGCAGUUCUCCCUGCUGCUCCUCGUUCAGGGCCCCACUUAAAAGCCACUUCCCCUCUGAAAGCGGCAGACCCAGGAGGGUCCUCCCACGGGGGUUCUGCGGUCCCUGCUUCUGCAUUUGUAGCACGUCUUCCAGUUUCCUGAUGCGGCAGCGAGCUUACAGGGUUAGCGGCCUCUCCGCGGGGCUAGGAGCUCCCGAAGUCUGGAAGUUACCUUGGUCCUUGUGACAAAAGUUCUUGGCUUGAGCAAACUCCAGCCCCUGAACCUUCUCCUAGACCCGUCUGUGCAUUUCCAUAUAAAAUCCAGUCGUAGCAAGAACCCUGCUCGGUCAUUUUAGCAGGAGGCCCCAAGUCUGAUGCCUGAUGACCCUCACUGUCUGAUCAGGGUCCUCAUCCUCCACCAUCCGUCAAGCAAUGUCCGAAUACCGGGCCUGUCUUCAGUCAAAAUCCCGUUAGGUCAGCGUAGCCAGGACUCUGCACGCCUGAUGCUUCCUCUCAGUGCUUUUCCAUCCCCCGACCCCAUACCUCUCGCCCCUACAGAUUCCCACCAGCCCAUGCUGCGCUUGGAGCUGAGCCCGUCUCUGCCCCCCUGUAAAAUCCCAUCGCAGGCCCCGCACUGAACACCAUCGCCCAGAAUAAAGCCUGCCUUACCAUCCUCAACAAGUGUCACUGAAUAUUUUUGUCAUGAACAGCUGCCCGUGACGAAUAUCACAGACUGGGCGGCUUGCACAACAGAAAUUUGUUUUCUCAUGAUUCUGGAGUCUGGAAGUCCGAGAUCAAGAUGUCGGGGGGGUUGGCUUCUUCUGAGGCUUCUCUCCUAGGCUCAUAGACGGCCGUCUCCUCCCUGCGCCUUCACCUGUCCCCUGCUGUGUGUCUCUGUCCCAAAUGUCCUCUGCCUGUAAGACCUGUCAUGUUGGAUUGGAGUCCUUCCCGAUGACCUCAUUACCUUAAUAACGUCCUCCAGACCUGAUCUCCAAACACAGCCCUAUUCUAGGGUGCUGAGAUUAGGACGUUCAGCAUAUGAAUUGGGACUGGGACGCAAUUCAGCCCGUGACUGUCAUUUAAAGUAAAUGUUUAAUAACCCAAAUAAUAUAGAAGUGUAUCAUCAUCAUUCCUGGUACUACAACCUCAGACGAUACAGGAGCGACCCAGAGAGAGGCAGAGGCACAGGCAGAGGGAGAAGCAGGCUCCCUGCGGGGAGCCCGAGGUGGACUCGAUCCCAGGACCCCGGGGUCACGCCUGGAACCCAAGGCAGAUGCUGCAUCGCUGAGCCGUCCCCCACCCCCACCCCAGGCGUCCCUCAGUUUUACUUCCUUGAUGUUUCUGAGAAUCCAGAGAGCACUUCCAUCUCCACCAGACCAGCCUCGGUGGCUCUUUCCUGCGGCCAGGCGGCUAUUCUGUGGCUGUUUCCGCCGCGGUUCCCUCUGUUCUUCUUUGCCUAAG